CCACUGUCCCUUCCUCCUGCACCACUAUCCAUGGAAAUGUUGCUUUUGUGUUCAGAGCCUGGGAAUGACUGACCUGUCCUGUGACCACA